GUAUGACUACCUCUACUGCUGUAAGUACUACCAGUAUGGGUAGUGGUCUGACUACCUCUACUGCUGUAAGUACUACCAGUAUGGUUAGGGGUAUGACUACCUCUACUGCUGUAAGUACUACCAGUAUGGUUAGGGGUAUGACUACCUCUACUGCUGUAAGUACGACCAGUAUUGUUAGGGGUAUGACUACCUCUACUGCUGUAAGUACUACCAGUAUGGUUAGGGGUAUGACUACCUCUACUGCUGUAAGUACUACCAGUAUGGUUAGGGGUAUGGCUACCUCUACUGCUGUAAGUACUACCAGUAUGGGUAGUGGUAUGGUAAACCUCUACUGCUGUAAGUACUACCAGUAUGGGUAGUGGUAUGGCUACCUCUACUGCUUUUGACAGCAUACAUCGCUGCUGAUGACAGUAUACAUUUCCACUUCAACAAAAUACCUGCCAGACUGGUUCUUUCUCUUUAUAUGAAGAAGAUGAGGUGGAAAGACAUGAGCACAACUCUACAGCAAGAGUGAUUCCGACUACGCUUGGACCAUUCUGGCCGCGCGCUUCUGGGACCGUUCUGGCUACGCUUCCGGGACCGUUCUGGCUACGCUUCCGGGACCGUUCUGGCUACGCUUCCGGGACCGUUCUGGCUACGCUUCCGGGACCGUUCUGGCUACGCUACCAGGACCAUUCUGGCUACGCUACCAGGACCAUUCUGGCUACACUUUCUGGGCCAUUCUGACUAUGCUUCUGGGGCCAUUCUGGCAACUCUGCCUCUACUCUGUUUAGAUGAAUUACUAGAAACUGCAGAGUGAUAACUGCCACCUCACUGUGCUCAUCACGGAUUUGGACAACAUGCUAUUUAAAGGUAAUUUAAGAUGACAUAUGCAGGGUUUACUAUGAAUCUGGUCUCUGCGAGCGAACUCAGGAACUUUGCCUUUAAAAGGUGCAUUGCAUACAUUGCUGAUUGGUUAAAAGUCAAUUCCACAAGUCACCACCUGCUAAAUCUAUGAUGUUAAAAUGCCUAUUUACUCUGUUCCAUCUGACUGCGCAAUCCACCGUCUCAUCAGCCCAGCCAGGCAAUUUAUAAACUUGAUCUCCACUAUAAAAAACUUCUAGACAUUAUCUCACAUUUACUAAAGAUUUUCAUUUAGUUUUCAACAGUGGAGAUUUGUAAUAACCUUGCUGUCUGUCUCUCCGACAUUUGCAACAUUGUUUCAAUAUUAAAAUUGGAUCUCCAGCUGUCCUAUAGUAAGGAACGUGUCGGGAGUCAGGACGAGACAGACAGACAGACAGGCAGCUUCUCUUAGCCAGUCUUGAAUUAUGAAUCAGCUGGCAUCAUUUUUAUGGAUAUAUACAAAGAAAUAUAAAUUGAAAAAAGGUACCGCGAAAUGAAGUAGUGCUAGUGUGCAGUCUUUCCAGCUUCAGUUUGAAGUGAUUGUGUUAGCUGUGUUGGCUAGCUCCUGUGAACAAAAGUAUCCUGAUGAGAGAGCACAUUUUCUAUGCCAGGCUAAAUUGUGCCUCAUUAGCUCAUUGUUAUGGAUGUAUCCAAAUAAAUGUCACUAGAAAACAGUUUAAACAAAUGCAAAUGCAGCUACUGUUAUUCUGGCUGCACUGUUUGAUGUGCUGUAAAUUAGCUGUAGUUGACUAGCUAGCAAGCAAGGGAUAAGAACGUUGCCAGCUAGUAUGACAAUGGAACAUUUAGAACGGACAACUGGGUCGCGUCCAUAGAUACAGAACAAAAAGACUGAACGACUGGUUCGCAUCUCUGGCAACCGAAUCGAUAGAACAACCAGCCGGCUUGGGUAACAACCCUAGAUUUGUGUCGGGACUAUAUCUUGUGGAAGGGUGAAAUAGUAUGAAUAAAUUCAGCAAAAUAACGUUUUUAAUUAAAUUAUGUAUAUCAUUAUUUGAAUAUGUUGGUUAACCCUUUGUAUGCCCUCAAUAUUUUGGCACGGUUUGCUGGCCCUGGACUUCGUCUUGGGCCUAACAACACCCGUGCCAAUAUAUCCUCCAAACACCGGCUUCUCGGGCAUUAUCACUUAAUUAUUCUAUCAGCAUUGUGCAAUGGGGAUAACAGUUCUAACUACAUAUAGUACAACAACAAUUUUUUUUUUUUAAAUAAUGAAAUGUAUGCAUUCACUACUGUAAGUCGCUCUGGAUAAGAGCGUCUGCUAAAUGACUAAAAUGUAAAUGUAAAUAUAAUAGAUAAUCUUUGCUAUAUUACAAAGCAUCAUGCCCCUAAGCCCGACAUCCACCUGGCACAGGAAGAUUUAAGUGUCCUCCCCAAGUCCCUCCCCAAUAGUACCCGCAAAACACAAGUCUCAACGUCAACAGUGAAGAGGCGACUCCGGAAUGCUGGCCUUCUAGGCAGAGUUGCAAAGAUAAAAAGCCAUAUCUCUGAUUGGUCAAUAAAAAGAAAAGAUUAAGAUGGGCAAAAGAACACAGACACUGGACAGGGGAACUCUGCCUAGAAGGCCAGCAUCCCGGAGUCGCCUCUUCACUGUUGACGUUGAGACUGGUGUUUUGCGGGUACUAUUUAAUGAAACUGCCAGUUGAGGUCUUGUGAGGCGUCUGUUUCUCAAACUAGACUCUCUAAUGUACUUGUCCUCUUGCUCAGUUGUGCACCAGGGCCUCCCACACCUCUUUCUAUUCUGGUCAGAGACAGUUUGCACUGUUCUGUGAAGGGAGUAGUACACAGCGCUGUAUGAGAUCUUCAGUUUCUUGGCAAUUUCUCGCAUGGAAUAGCCUUCAUUUCUCAGGACAAGAAUAGACUGACGAGUUUCAGAAGAAAGGUUUUUGUUUCUGGCCAUUUUGAGCCUGUAAUUGAACCCACAAAUGCUGAUGCUCCAGAUACUCAACUAGUCUAAAGAAGGAGUUUUAUUGCUUCUUUAAUCAGG
rnacentral:lncRNA from 1 species